rnacentral:rRNA from 2 species
GCACCGGAUCAUACCAGCACUAAUGCACCGGAUUCCAUCAGAACUCCGCAAUUAAGCGUGCUUGGGCGAGAGUAGUAAUAGGAUGGGUGACCUCCCGAGAAAUCCUCGUGUUGCACCCU